AGUCUAACAUGUGCGCGAGUCAUUGGGACAUUGAAACCUAAAGGCGCAAUGAAAGUGAAGGUCGUACCUUGCGUCGACCAAGGGAGGAUGGGCCGCGUCACGAUGCGGCCUCGCACUCCCGGGGCGUCUCGUUCUCAUUGCGAGAAGAGGCGCACCCAGAGCGUACACGUUGGGACCCGAAAGAUGGUGAACUAUGCCUGGUCAGGACGAAGUCAGGGGAAACCCUGAUGGAGGUCCGUAGCGAUUCUGACGUGCAAAUCGAUCGUCGGAACUGGGUAUAGGGGCGAAAGACUAAUCGAACCAUCUAGUAGCUGGUUCCCUCCGAAGUUUCCCUCAGGAUAGCUGGCACUCGCUCGUUCCUCUAUUGUGAACGCGUGCGAGUCUCAUCUGGUAAAGCGAAUGAUUAGAGGCCUUGGGGCCGAAACGACCUCAACCUAUUCUCAAACUUUAAAUGGGUGAGAUCUCUGGCUUGCUUGAAACAAUCAAUGAAGCCACGAGAAUUUGGAUCAGAGUGCCAAGUGGGCCAAUUUUGGUAAGCAGAACUG
rnacentral:rRNA from 2 species